CACACACCCUUUAGCGCUUCAUGAAUCGUGAGACCCAAGUAUGCCCAAGUGAAGCCUUCUCCUUGCUCACAUAUUCUACGGUGCCUUGGAGAAGUUAUGUGAGAAGAGCAGAAAUAUGAAAUAUUUAUUGGCCAAACCAUAAUGCUAUGCCAUGAUCAUAGUUCUUCAAACACAACCCACCAUUCUCAAGGGAAUGUUCCAAGAGCCUUGGGAACCCCCAGAUUGAGGGAAAGCCUCGGCCUGACCCUAAGCGGGGCGCCCAGGCAGCCCUGCUGACCUCCUGCAGGCCCCAGGAGCCACGCUGCUGAGUCUACUAGCGCAGACCCGGGAGAAAUAGGGUUCGAGCCCAGGACGCCUGGAGGACAGGGACAUUCUUGGAGUACCACAAGGACAACAAUUUAAAGAGUGCUUUUGCAAGUCCAUGACAUUCUUGUGACCAGGGCCCAUGAUGGCUCCCUGGUAUUUUAAAUUUCUCUCUCUAGUGAAGCACAUUAUAAUAAGAUUUCUGGAUAGAAAAGGAGGCCCUGCAAAAGCCAGCAUGCCAAAGUGAAGAAAAAAACAUGUAAAGAAGAUAUUUAUGAGAGACAAAUAUUAGUACUAUGGUGUAUAAACUAUUGAAUUUCAAUAUAAGAGUUUUGUCUCUAGACCCCAAUGUUUAUUGAGUGCCUGCUAUGAGGCUUUCUUCACUGGCCAAAAUGAAGAUGUGAAGAAAAUGGAUAAUGGCUCUUUUCUUCAGCACUAGGUGGGCUAUUAUUAAAGAAAAUGUUGAAGAUUUUCACUUAGGAAACCAGUGAACCCACAUUUCUAUUAAGACGGACCCAUAUAUCACACAAGGGGGAAAUAAAUAUGUACUUCAAUCCG